UCUAAUGAUGGCGAUAUGGAAAGCAACUGCAAGAAACGUAGUACAUUAGGCUACUGUUAAGGACCCAAAGCUUUUCUUUUUCUCCGGAAAGCUGUUGUCGCCCAUAUUCGGUUACUUAAAUUUAACGUUAAGUAUAUAUAUUUACGCAACUGGUAGGCUCAUAAGUUCCAUAAACCUCCUUCAUAACAGUGAUUUGCUUUCGGCGAUCACUGUGCUCUCUAGUGGCUAUCCGUGCCGCUUCGAAUACAAGCCAGAAAGCUGAGCAGCAAACGUCAUCCGGUGUCAAGUGUUCGGGCCGUCACAUUAAAUGAGUAAGAGCUCAUUCCCUGAUUACAGAAGUCAUUACAGGGUCAACCGAGGGACGAAGGGGGGAACAGGAAUGAAGUCUGGCAGUGAAAGAGGUUAGGAAGGGAGUGAGCGAGGCAUUCUUAAAAGAGGGAAGCCAGUUACCCGGCCGUGUGCUCAUUCUUAAUAAAAUACAGGUACGUCAUAUGCUCCCUUCUCGUAUAAUGUAUUCGAGAACCCGGUCCAAGAAAAACAACAGCAGUUGACACGUUCUGGAUGGUUAUCGAAAUGGAUACUGGGAAUGUUCUACAUCAAAUCUGAGCUGUGUUUUUCUUCUUUCUUUUUUUUUUCUAAAAGAAAAGCAUGUGGCAAAAAAACUGCAACUGAAUAUUGUUUUACUAUAUUUGUCAAAAAAAAAAAAAAAUGCUGAUAAGAAAGGAGUGUUGUGAAAGAGGGUAAACGAUCAGGUUUUUCCUGGGUUAAAAUCUCUAAAACAGGUCAGGACACUGAACUGACCACAACCUGACUACAUAACAAGAAUGUAUAUUUAGUUACAAAAUACCUCCUAAGUGUCUCUAUAAACUAAUCAAAAUGUGUUUAUUUUUUGAUGAUGGCAUGGAGGUAUAAGCCAGAUAAAAAGGUGAACAACUUUUUAGUAUGUUUUUCCAUAACAACUAUCCAGAUAAAUGUGAAUGCAAGCAUUUGAAAUAAUGCCAUCUCUGCAGCUAUGAAUGGGCCUUUAUUUUAUCAACAAUUUACCAUUACUUUGACCUACAAGUAAAUGCAAGGGUUGCAAAUUAAGUUUGCCGUGUGUAGUUUUAGUGAUUGCCCAACGUACCACUUAGUGUUUAUGAAGGAAAAAAUACUGCCUGUUUUUAAUGGCUUGCCAAAGGUACCUGUAAGGGCAAACAUUGGUUGAAACAAACAAUGGUUGCUCUCCUCUGCUCCGUGAAGGAAACAUGUAAGGAUGCUUGUAAACCUUCUGGAUUGGACGGAUUUUUGAGUCCAGUAUUGAGGAGUUCUUGGACUCAUUUCCACAAAUGUCUUUUUUUUUUCAUUACAUGAAACACAUUUCAUGAAAUUUUGUUACAGGCAAUGGCUAAUAAAUCUGCUACAAUUUUAUUUCUAGCUCCUACAAGCCUGCUUUUCCAUUGUAGGUAGGCCACUGGGAUUUGUGUUACUCAUAUGAAAAAGGAGGAGAAGAUUAAUGCAUUUUGGACCAGAGAUAACCUUCCAUGGUUAUGCUCAUCCAAAUUUCGAAAUGCAGAUUACUGCGAGCAGGAAUUUUGUUGCAUGACAUGAUUGAUGCCAAGUUCAUUGAAAUUUAGAAUUUAGAAUUACUGACUUACAUCAUUGCCAGGGCUUGUGCUGGACGUUGUUCUUUAUCUUUCUUUGUAUUUGGACAUGCAUGUGUAUAAUUAGUAAUUGCACCCUGCUGGGCAGUCAGUUCUGGGCAGUCAGUGCUGAGCAGUCAGUGCUGGUCAGUCUCUGCAGGGCAGACAGUGCUGGUUAGUCUCCGCAGGGCAGUCAGUCCUGAGCAGUCAGUGCUGGUCAGUCAGUGCUGAGCAGUCAGUGCUGGUCAGUCUCUGCAGGGCAGUCAGUUCUGGUCAGUCUCUGCAGGGCAUUCAGUGCUGAGCAGUCAGUGCUGGGCAGUCAGUGCUGAGCAGUCAGCUCUGGGCAGUCAGUGCUGGUCAGUCUCUGCAGGGCAGUCAGUGCUGAACAGUCAGUGCUGGGCAGUCAGUGCUGAGCAGUCAGUGCUGGGCAGUCAGUGCUGGUCAGUCUCUGCAGGGCAGUCAGUGCUGGUCAGUCUGUAGGGCAGUCAGUCCUGAGCAGUCAGUGCUGGUCAGUCAGUGCUGAGCAGUCAGUGCUGGUCAGUCUCUGCAGGGCAGUCAGUUCUGGUCAGUCUCUGCAGGGCAGUCAGUGCUGAGCAGUCAGCUCUGGGCAGUCAGUGCUGGUCAGUCUCUGCAGGGCAGUCAGUGCUGAACAGUCAGUGCUGGUCAGUCUCUGCAGGGCAGUCAGUGCUGAGCAGUCAGUGCUGGGUAGUCAAUGCUUCUACUGAUGCUUCCCAGCAUGCACCAAACCACCCGCACAGACAGUUAUUCCUUCUAUACUCUUUUUUAUUAAUCCCCCCUUCUCUCUCUCUCUCUCUCUUCCCCCUCUCUCUCUCUCGCUCUUUCUCCCAAAUUCAAAAUUAAAUUUGCUUUACUGGCAUGACCACACACACUCAUAGUAUUGCCAGGACAGCAUCGCUUUUCUUUCCUUUCCCAUCCAAGAGCAGAGUGAGAGGUAAGAGAAAGAAGAAUAAAGAGAGCCUUUUCAUUUCCAGAGCCAAGAAACCCCCACAGCUCCUCUUUAAGUUUCUGUGCCAGUGAAGUAUGGACAUUAAUGGGAAGGGCCCCUCUCUAUCACUCCCUUCCAAAUCUCCCUCCAUCUUUCCAUCCCCUCCUCCUGAGUAAAGAUGGAUGAAGGUGCCAAAAAAGCCCAUGUCCCUGUUCUUCUUUUCUCCGUGACUUUUUUCUCCUCUCAUCCCUCCAUCUCUGAGACAUCAAACAGGCUAGCUCCUUCAGCUCCUAGGAUGGUAACCUUGGCUACGGGACCCGGGGCUUCCGUGCUGUGAAGGCGGAGCUGGCUGCCAAAAAUGCAGCCCAUUGGCUAAGCCCCCAAACAAGAGACAAUGAUUGGCCAUAAAUCACCGGAGUCUCGGAGCUCGUAGGGGAAGUGUUCCAGGCUCGCCUGUCAUAGUUCCUGUUCCUUCACUCAGUGACUGAUCCCUGCUAAGAAAACACAUUUCACAGAGCAGGUAAGAGCCCAAUGAAACAGUGUGUGUGUGUGUGUUUACCUUUGAACACCUCCACAUCUCACAAGUCACCACGGCACCCUGGACCGCUAACCUGCUGCAGGCAUCUUCCAACACCGAUGCCCAGAAAAAUGGCUGAUCUAUCACAGAAAAUACACACGCGUCCAAAAACACAGGUGCCGUACAGGAAAGUGGGCUGAAAAGAAGGAAUGUGGAUUUGCACCCUGUGUAUGCUUCCCAAUGCCAUAAAUUGAUUUAACAUCGAACAGUAAGGAACGUUUUGAGCCUGAAUGACUCUUCAUCAGACUGCUGUUUUUUUAGCCAAUGGCUAAUCUGCCAUUGGACCCUGUAGAUGGGGAUAGAGAACUAUCAAUUUAAGGAAGAAUAAAAUCAGAUUAAUUCGAAAAAACAAAUUGAAAAAAGGUGACCCUCAACAGAAAGUGGAAGAAGCAUAUGGAAUUAGUGAAAUCAGGUGGCCCUUUUAGUUGUCUAAAUUGCAGGAUGGGUGAUAUGGCCAGUGCAGGUCUUUUCUACAUAAGUGGUGCCCAGAGCUGGCAAUAUUUGGACAGAUACACUGAUCUAUCUUUCGUGGGGGGGGCUCUGUUAUUUCUCCUCCCCAUCUGAUUGAACUGCACACUAGUUGUAGGGCUGGCUCAUGACUGGCUAUUUUCCCUGACCCAUACGCUACAAAAAUAUACUGACAUAUACUGAAAAAUAUGUAGUGCAGUAAUUUUAAUAUAUGGAGGAACUCCAAAUAUUUUUUUAAUACAUGCCAAAUAGAUUGCCAUUUCUGCUGAAUAAUAGAUAUUGUUAGUUUUAUUCAGAUGUAUCCCAAUGACAAGCGGCAGUAAUUGGUAUAUUUUUCAAUAGAUUUGACUGUAUUAUUCAACAUAUUUAACACAGUAGAAAUAGCAAUAUAUUAGAAUAUAUUGUCAUUGCAAAUUACAAUAUAUUGCAUUGUAAUGCUGUGACUAGUUACCCAUACUGUUACCAUUUCCAGCCGCAGUCUUUAUGGCGCAAAUAAGUCAGUGUUGUGUCUUUGAUGAGAGACGGCCAGCAGCACAGGCCCCGCCGCCCGCCUUUAUGUGCGCCACACUCCGCGCACUUCCUCUUCCCUCUCUCCCACAUUCCGCCAGGACCUCCCGCCGCCUUUGUGGCUGCUGCCAGAGGAAUGCGCCAAUGUCUCAGCAUCCUCUCAGGAACCCCUGCAGAGCUACAGCUCGUCUGCGUUUGUGGCGCACGCGCGCGUGUGUGUAUGUAUAUGUGUGUGAGUGAGUGAGUGUGUGUGUGUGUGAGUGGGUGAGUGAGUGUGUGUGUGUGAGUGAGUGAGUGAGUGAGUGUGUGUGAGUGUGAGUGUGUGUGUGAGUGAGUGAGUGUGUGUGUGUGUGUGUGUGUGUGUGAGUGAGUGAGUGAGUGAGUGAGUGUGUGUGUGUGUGUGUGUGUGUGUGUGUGAGUGAGUGAGUGAGUGUGUGUGUGCAUGUGUGUGAUCUUCCUUACAGCGCUCUUUUAUCAAGAUCACCGUUUCCUUCCGCAGUUUUUUUUCAAGCACAUGGCUCACCACGUGGGGUUUAAAAUAAAAAAAAACCAAAUAAUUUCCCCCCUCGACAUCAAAAGCAAGCUGACCCAGUCUCCCUCCAGCUGCUGGGCUCAACCAGAACGGUGGACCCAAACAAAGCGCCUGUGUGGAUCACACCGCUGGUGCUGCUGCGCUCCUCUCUGGGGGGGACUCGAGGGGGGGGGGGUCUGGCAGACUCUGCGGUCAGGCGUGCCUCUGAUUGAGCCUUGAUUGGAGGAGGUCGGGACAGGAAGUCUGGAGGAACCGCGUGCCCGGUCUGGGCUUUGAAGUGAUACACACAGCACUGCCACAGCAUCUGAUCUGCAAAGGACCAAUCAGGGCCUAGUGUUUGCUCCAUCCAGCUGCUUUUACUGAAGGUACUGCUGCCAUCCAGUUUUUGGCUGCACGUCCACCUUCAUUCAACAGCUCCUCACCGCUGAUCUGCCCUGAGCGCAUUGAACAUUGGGAGCCUGCUUCCUAACAGAAAUAGAAUAUUCAGUAAUAUUGUAUAUGUAUAUGCGGACCUUUUAUUUGGAAAUAUAAGUUUAUUUCACAGAAUUGUAUGCAGUGCUGCAAUAUUUUGACAAUAUGUUUUAUGUCAAUUUAUUUUGGUAUAUUGCAUUUUCAUAAUGGUUCUGAGACAAUAAGUACUGUAUGUCAGUUACCAAGAGCAACCUGGAUGAAACAGUUGUGGCCCAAGACUGUAAAAUAUCAUGACUGGUAACUCUUGUUACCUCUUUCUUUCGUAGGGGGAUGGAGGAGGGAUGAAUCAGUGGAACCAUGGAUAUUCUUUUAAACAUAAGUCGAUGAAAUAUGAUAUCUGCUUACAUGUACAGUAUAUCCCCUUGUGGUGAGAAGUUUUAAUUGGUCUCAUGCUGAUGAUGUCACUUCCUCUCUUUCCCAGCAUGAGCCACCAGACCUCAGUGUUGCUGUUGGCACCUGCAUGGGAGAGCAGUGGACCUUAGAAAAGGGGCCCAGUAUUGUUCCAACAGCUAGCAAGAACAGGAAGGACAGCUUCAUGAACUCUGAAAUCAUGCGUUUUUCUUUGUUUUUUUCCAGGAAGUGCAAAUUUAGUGCCUUGAAAUUAAUUUCAAAUGAAGCCACGGUUAUCUAAUUCAACACCUUGGUUUGAGUUUUCACUGUGGUGAGUAACUAUGCCCAGAGUAAACAGCCACCACGCCAGCUGUACAAUCACACACACACACACAGACACACACACAGGCACACACACAGGACACAUAUGGAUGCAUGCAUGAAUGUGCAAAUACACACACACACAUCUGUUACCCCAUUAGCCACAGCCAGUAAAAAAAACAGCAACACAGGGUACUUUAAUACCUUUAGGAGUGUGUUUAGAAUCUUCCUUCCAAAAUUGCUGGAUCGUCAUUCACUGUGCUAUAACCAUAGGAAGCAGCAAAAGUAUGGAAACUAUAUUUAAAUGUACUCAACAUGUCAGAUUGAGAGAUUGAGGGCAAGCUAGGUGUGAUGGCUUUGUGAAAAUAAUGUAGAAUGUAUGUAUUGUAAUAGUCUGCCACUCAGACUCAGGUCUGCCACUCACACUCAGUUAAGGUGAUAGAUAGAUUAGGAAGCCAUUGUUUUGAUGUAACUGAAGGUUUUGCACGUUCAAUAAAGGAACUGUGCCGUUCUGCUGCAGAUGGAA